rnacentral:rRNA from 1 species
UACAGAGGUGGCAAGCGUUGUUCGGAAUUACUGGGCGUAAAGGGCGCGUAGGCGGUCUUGUAAGUCUUGUGUGAAAUCCCUCGGCUUAACUGAGGAACUGCACGGGAUACUGCGAGACUUGAGAUCGGGAGAGGGAAGCGGAAUUCCGGGUGUAGCGGUGAAAUGCGUAGAUAUCCGGAGGAACACCGGUGGCGAAGGCGGCUUCCUGGACCGGAUGACUGACGCUGAGGCGCGAAAGCUAGGGGAGCAAACGGG